CCUACGGGAGGCAGCAGUAAGGAAUAUUGGUCAAUGGACGAAAGUCUGAACCAGCCAUGCCGCGUGAAGGAUGAAGGUCCUCUGGAUUGUAAACUUCUUUUAUCUGGGACGAAAAAAGGGCUUUCUAGCUCACUUGACGGUACCAGAGGAAUAAGCACCGGCUAACUCCGUGCCAGCAGCCGCGGUAAUACGGAGGGUACAAGCGUUAUCCGGAUUUACUGGGUUUAAAGGGAGCGUAGGUGGGCAGGUAAGUCAGUGGUGAAAUCUCUGGGCUUAACCCGGGAAACUGCCAUUGAUACUAUCUGUCUUGAAUAUCCUGGAGGUAAGCGGAAUAUGUCAUGUAGCGGUGAAAUGCUUAGAUAUGACAUAGAACACCCAUUGCGAAGGCAGCUUACUACGGGAUUAUUGACACUGAGGCUCGAAAGCGUGGGGAUCAAACAGGAUUAGAUACCCUGGUAGUCCACGCCCUAAACCGAUGGAUACUCGACAUCAGCGAUACACUGUUGGUUGUCUGAGNGAAGACAUAAGUAGUCCGACCGUACGGAGGUACGUAACCGGCGAGGUUAGUUAACGUACGAAAGGAAGUUAGACGGCGUUGNGACGNGCGACGGACGACGACGAGGGAGGAGG
rnacentral:rRNA from 1 species